UUGAUAAGGACGGGGUUAAACCCGCCUGCACAGGGCUACAACCUGCCGCCUA
rnacentral:tRNA from 1 species